rnacentral:rRNA from 1 species
UACGGAGGGGGCGAGCGUUAUUCGGAAUUAUUGGGCGUAAAGGGCGCGUAGGCGGCUUCAUAAGUCAAAGGUGAAAUCCCUCGGCUCAACUGAGGAACUGCCUUUGAAACUGUGGAGCUUGAGGCCGGGAGGGGGUAGCGGAAUUCCCAGUGUAGCGGUGAAAUGCGUAGAUAUCAGGAGGAACACCGGUGGCGAAGGCGGUUCUCUGGGCAUUACCUGACGCUGAGGAGCGAAAGUGUGGGGAGCAAACAGG